UGGACCUCAGAUCAGGCAAGAUUACCCGCUGAGUUUAAGCAUAUCACUAAGCGGAGGAAAAGAAACUAACAAGGAU
rnacentral:rRNA from 1 species